rnacentral:rRNA from 1 species
GUUUGACCCUGGCUCAGGAUGAAUGCUAGCGGAGCGCCUAACACAUGCAAGUCGAGCGAAUCCAUUUGUAUGAUUUAUUGAAGUGCUUGCACUGAUAUAAUGAAUAUGUAUGAGAUUAGCGGCAGACGGGCGAGUAACGCGUACUUAACUUACCCUAAAGUGAGGAACAACUGGAGAAAUCCCGCUAAUUCCUCAUAGUCUCUUGGAGUUGAGAUACACUAAGAGUAAAGGUUUACCGCUUUAGGAGAGGUGUGCGUCCUAUCAGCUAGUUGGUAAGGUAAAUGCUUACCAAGGCAAUGACGGGUAGCCGGACUGAGAGGUUGAUCGGCCGCAAUGGGACUGAGACACGGCCCAUACCCCUACGGGGGGCAGCAGUGGGGAAUAUUGGGCAAUGGGCGAAAGCCUGACCCAGCGACUCCGCGUGGAGGAAGAAGCCUUAAGGGGUGUAAACUCCUUUUCUGGGGGAAGACGAAUGACGGUACCCCAGGAAUAAGCCACGGCUAACUACGUGCCAGCAGCCGCGGUAAUACGUAGGUGGCAAGCAUUAUCCGGAAUUACUGGGUGUAAAGAGUCCGUAGCCGGUUGUAUAAGUCUACUUUUAAAAGCUUUGGCUCAACCAAAGAGAGGGGGUAGAUACUGUAUAACUAGAGAUAGUUAGAGGUUAAUGGAAUUCUCGGUGGAGGGGUGAAAUCUGUUGAUAUCGGGAGGAAUGCCGAAAGCGAAAGCAGUUAACUAUAAUUAAUCUGACGGUGAUGGACGAAAGCAUAGGUAGCAAACAGGAUUAGAUACCCUGGUAGUCUAUGCCGUAAACUAUGCUCGCUAGGUGUUUUCACGAGAGUGGGAGUGCUGUAAGCAAACGCGUUAAGCGAGCCACCUGAGGAGUACAGUCGCAAGACUGAAACUCAAAGGGAUAGGCGGGGGAAUACACAAGCAGUGGAUUGUCUCGAUUAAUUGGAUAAUAAGCCAAGAAUCUUACCUAGGCUUGACAUCCUUAGGAUUUUAUAGAAAUAUAGAAGUGCCUAGAUUACUAGGAGCUAAGUGACAGGUGCUGCAUGGCCGUCGUCAGCUCGUGCCGCAAGGUGUCCGGUUAAGUCCGGGAACGAGCGCAACCCUCGUACUUAGUUAAGAUGUCUAAGUAGACUGCCUUCGCAAGAGGGAGGAAGGAGAGGAUGACGUCAGGUCAUUAUGGCCCUUAUGCCUAGGGCGUCAGAGACAAUACAAUGGUUGGUACAAUAUGAGGCGAUAUCGCGAGAUGGAGCAAAUCAUGAAAAACCAACCUUAGUGCGGAUUGUAGUCUGGAACUCGACUACAUGAAGUUGGAAUUGCUAGUAAUGGUGGAUCAGCCAUGCCACCGUGAAUAUGUCCCUGUUCCUUGCACUCACCGCCCGUCAUACCAUGGGAGCUGAGGCUCUUUGAAGCACUACAGAGUGGUGUAAGAAGGGAAUUAGCGACUGGGGUAAAGUCGUAACAAGGUAUCCCUACGGGAACGUGGGGAUGGACCAUCUUUAAAGU